GACAGAGGGUGCAAACGUUGUUCGGAAUUACUGGGCGUAAAGCGCGUGUAGGCGGCUCUGCAAGUCGGAUGUGAAAUCCCACGGCUCAACCAUGGAAGUGCAUUCGAAACUGCAGGGCUAGAGUCCUGGAGAGGAAGGUGGAAUGCUUGGUGUAGAGGUGAAAUUCGUAGAUAUCGAGCGGAACACCGGUGGCGAAGGCGGCCUUCUGGACAGUGACUGACGCUGAGACGCGAAAGCGUGGGGAGCAAACAGG
rnacentral:rRNA from 1 species